CAUGUACUACCUCCGUCCCAAAAUUCUUGUCUUUGAUUUGUCUAAAUAUGAAUGUAUCUAGUCAUGUAUUAGUAUUUAGAUACAUUCAUUUCUAAAAAAAUCUAAGACAAUAAUUUUGGGACGGAGGGAGUAUUUG
rnacentral:pre_miRNA from 1 species